GAUGAACGCUGGCGGCGUGCCUAAUACAUGCAAGUCGAGCGAACAGAUGAGAAGCUUGCUUCUCUGAUGUUAGCGGCGGACGGGUGAGUAACACGUGGGUAACCUACCUAUAAGACUGGGAUAACUCCGGGAAACCGGGGCUAAUACCGGAUAAUAUUUUGAACCGCAUGGUUCAAUAGUGACAGACGGUUUCGGCUGUCACUUAUAGAUGGACACGCGCCGUAUUAGCUAGUUGGUAAGGUAACGGCUUACCAAGGCGACGAUACGUAGCCGACCUGAGAGGGUGAUCGGCCACACUGGAACUGAGACACGGUCCAGACUCCUACGGGAGGCAGCAGUAGGGAAUCUUCCGCAAUUGGCGAAAGCCUGACGGAGCAACGCCGCGUUAGUGAUGAAUGUCUUCGGAUCGUAAAACUCUGUUGUGAGGGAAGAACAAAUUUGUUAGUAACUGAACAAGUCUUGGCGGUACCUAACCAGAAAGCCACGGCUAACUACGUGCCAGCCGCCGCGGUAA
rnacentral:rRNA from 1 species